rnacentral:rRNA from 1 species
UGAACGCUGGCGGCGUGCCUAAUACAUGCAAGUCGAGCGAACAGACGAGGAGCUUGCUCCUCUGACGUUAGCGGCGGACGGGUGAGUAACACGUGGAUAACCUACCUAUAAGACUGGGAUAACUUCGGGAAACCGGAGCUAAUACCGGAUAAUAUAUUGAACCGCAUGGUUCAAUAGUGAAAGACGGUUUUGCUGUCACUUAUAGAUGGAUCCGCGCCGCAUUAGCUAGUUGGUAAGGUAACGGCUUACCAAGGCAACGAUGCGUAGCCGACCUGAGAGGGUGAUCGGCCACACUGGAACUGAGACACGGUCCAGACUCCUACGGGAGGCAGCAGUAGGGAAUCUUCCGCAAUGGGCGAAAGCCUGACGGAGCAACGCCGCGUGAGUGAUGAAGGUCUUCGGAUCGUAAAACUCUGUUAUUAGGGAAGAACAAAUGUGUAAGUAACUAUGCACGUCUUGACGGUACCUAAUCAGGAAGCCACGGCUAACUACGUG